rnacentral:lncRNA from 1 species
GAGGUCUAUGAACAGAUCCAUUCUGGUUCAGUCCAGAUUUGCCGACGCCUGAGAGCUCGCUCGCACCACUUGCUUUCCCAGCAUUCUGUGUGACUGGCAAGGUGCUCUGCAGCAGUACGCUGAGCACCACAUCAAUAUCCGGUGAUGGUCCUGCCAAGAUGUUCACAUAUUCAGCGUGUACUCAAAACAGAUCAUUCAGCUGUGCAUGUCAUGCAAAUAGGAAGCCCUCAGCACUCAACAGCCCACAAUGAAGGCAAUACUCUACGAGAGAG